rnacentral:misc_RNA from 1 species
GCGAGUAUGAAGGCAUAGCAGCGAGAAUUGAGACAGCGGCAGCAGUGACGUCCGGAUCAGGGAAAUGGAGAUCAGCACGAACACCAGUGCAGACGGAGGCCCANNNNNNNNNNGUGAGGCGCGUGGAUCGAAUCAAGUCAAAAGAGAGCUUUUUACAGACGGCGGAUGCUGGUGCAGCGACGAUCUCUUCGACAGCAGUCUUGGCGAUGAC